rnacentral:lncRNA from 1 species
CAAAUCCAUAGAUCUAAGAUGCAAGGAAUGAAGGCCCUCUCUUUGGGUGAUUAGCCUUUGCUUAUGUAAAGAGGAAUCUACAAAGGUAUAAUUUCUCAACUAACAAAUGUUGUUUUAAGUUGAAUCAAGGUUCACCAAUCUACUAGGCUUUGAAUUUGAUGGGUAAUGUUUUGUUUUUGAGUGCAUACAAGCAUGAUUCCGCCUUUAAAUUUGUUAAUUGCAUGCUAUAGAUGUUGCUCAAAUGAACAUGUUUUUCACAAAAUCUCCUUCAAGUGGUAUCAGAGCCUAGGUCUAGUAGUUGGUGAAUCCCUUUGGGUUUUGUAGUUCAUAGUCUUUGAUUCAAAUGUUGUAAUAUGUUACAAGCUUUAUUCUUGCUUCUUUGAAUGUAAAUUUUGUUAGAAAAUUUGCCAUCUCAAAUGUUGUAGAUGUAGUUCAUAUGAGCAUGAAUAUUGGAGCUAAAAUUUGGUGCCAUGUUUUUGGGAAUUUUCGGCCAAAUCCAAAAGGUGGAUUUUUGGGUUCUUGUUUGACUUGUUAAAAGUGUUUUCAAGUAACUUUUGGAACCCUAUGUAACCUAGUUUGGUUAUAUGUUAUUUCCCUUAAGUUUGAGUGUUUUUUGGGAUGUCUUUGGAUGAAAAAUGUUCAUGAAGUUUUUAUGGGUUUUUCAUGAAUGUUCUUCAUUGUUCUUGACAUUUUAGCCAAGAACAAAAAGUUUGGUGUUUUGAUUCAAAGUUUUGAUUUAUUUCAUAAAGUCUUUGUUUUGUACUUUAUCAAAUGUUUUAAUGUGAUUAAAAUUUUGAAAGGUGAUAGAAAUGGUGAUGAGUGUGUAAAAAGUACUUCUCUUACACACACACCACUUGCAUGAAUUUAUGUCACACACACCACUUGCAUGGUUUUAUGACUUUGUUGAAAAAUUUCAAAAUUUUGCAUUCCUCACUCUCUCUAAAACCGGCCACCCUACAAGUGGGGUGCUUUUGAGGCUUUUAUGCAAUUACAUAAAGUUUUGGUACUUUUGUGUAAUUUGUAGUUUGACCCAAAAGUUUACGUAUUUACGUAAAGGUCCAAAAUCAUUAAAGGACAAAUUGUUUUGUUCCUUUAAUGAUGUUUUUCAAUUUGUUGAAUUUUUUGGUUCUAGUUGUAAUUACAUGAAGUAGUGGAUUUUUGUGUUUUUACAAAAUGAGCUCAAAAGUUUAAGUUUUGCAACAUAGCCCAAAAAGUUGAGGUUAUUGCAUUUUGGCCCAAAUUAGGUUGAGAACAAAAUGGUUUUGUCUCUUUAAAUGAGAAUUGGAUUUUCAUUUCAUUUAGCUCCAUUUAAAUCAAUUUUAUGGAUACAAAAACCAAAUGAAAAUGUUGCAUUCAAUUUAAUUAGUUAAAGUGUUAAUUAAUUAAAGGGUGAUUAUAAACCUAAGCCUACGAUAAUUGAGCUAUGUGAAAGGCUAUUUCAAAUUUGUUUGAACCAUGGGAAUGUGUAGAUUAGAUUUUGGUUGUAAUUUGAUUUGAUCAAAUGUUGUAAAAGAGCAUAAGCUCUUCUUUACUUUAAAGUAAUUUGUUUUAUUCAAAUGUUGUAAAGAGCAUAAGCACAUCUUUACUUUGAAGUACUCCUUUCUUGUAUUAUUUGAUAUGCAUGAAAAUGGAGUAGAGGGUCCAACGCCCCUAAGACAACAUGCCUUAAUGUGAUUAAACGUGUAACUAAAAUCAAUCACCAUCCCUAGAUCGAGAUUCAACACUAGGCUCGUGUUGAAUCUAAACAAAGGUUCAUAGUCAUCCUAAGGCCCUAAGGCAACUAUAUAGUCCAUCAAAUGAAUGCAAGUUUAUGUUAGUAGUAUCAUAUACUCUUACUUUAAAAACCGUUUUAUAAGCAUAGUGGGAGUAUUAUAUACAACUAAAUUCAAUCAAAUGGACCAAUAGUUGUAAUAGGACCAAAAUUGUUUUAAUAAAGAUUAAAAUGAAUAUUUAUAUGUGAUGAGACCUAAAAACCCUCAACCAAACCAUUAUUAAGUUGAGAAGCAUGAGAGUGCUUUGAACACUCUUUCGUGGCCUUCCACUGUGGUAGGCUCCGAUCGUUUGUGACUCGUACACCGGCUUCACCCUAUCAUGGGGGAGUACAAAGUGCGUGCUUACACUCAGGAGGAGUCUAUAUGCAUACUUGAUGUUGUGAAAGGUAGGCAACGAGAAUAGCCAACAUCAUAUCAUUGUGAGGUUUCUUGAACCCCUACCCGAACUUGCAUGGUGGGAAUGACUUAACUAAGUGCAAUGGAGCCAACAUCAUAUCAUUGUGAGGCUACAUUCUCUAGAGGCCAAAUAAGAUGGGUACUUGCAAGAGAUGCAAAUGAGUAAGCGUACUCUCUUAUUAUUAUUAAUGCUAGCCAACAUCAUAUCAUUGUGAGGUGGGCUUGGUAAUAGUGAGUCUCCCAUACCCUACUAAGAGUUAUCUCCAAAACUCUCGAAUUCCAAUGAGGGAUAUGGAAUUUGCCAAAAAUAGUGGGUGGUGCUAUUUGAUUUAAAGCCCGAAUCAAAUGGCUUAAAACCAAUCAAUUUAUAUUCGUUAUGUAUUUGUUUACCAAUAUAUUUGCAAACGCUAUCCAAAACUUGACUAAGAAAAGUCGAAUGCUUUAGUUUCCGGACUUGGUACAACAAUCCCAAAGAUUGUCUUAAAUGGAUUGUAUAUGUACCUAAGUAGUCUCAUCCUCACAAUCUUUUUAUUGAUAAUGUACCAUUGGAAGAACAUGUUAGAUAAGUCUAUCAUAAAGAGGACAACACUUUUAAAGUCAUAAUUCUUCAAUUACAAAUCGUUGUAUGAAGAAAUAAGAGUUGCUUUGAACAACCCUUAACUAACGCAAACAUUAGU